GGAUUUGAUUGCCUGCUGGAGCCUGUUGCCAGGGGACAUGUCUUUGGGUGUUCUGUUGGUGACAAGUGUUCAAGGGCACCACUCCAGGAAGGAUGGAGUUACUCUUAUUUCUGCAUUCAGGGAAAUCUCCUGAACCAAAAAAUGAGAAGACUCCAGGUUAGCCACUAACCAGCUGUAAGACUUGGGACACGUCCAUGGAACUCUCUGGAUUUAGUGACUUUCAGUCCAUCCUGUUCAGCUUUAACAGCACAUGGCAAACAGGUGAAUCCAUGAAUGGAACCUGCAUCAGAUGUCCUACAUGCACUCACGGUGCUGAGUAUCUGCGGUCAGUGUCUGCCACUAGUACAUACCACCUUGAGUCAUUAAGGCCAAGCCUGGUGACUCACUCCAGGACUCCAUUGUGUGACAUUUUCCUGUGACUUGAAUGAGGACACUGAAAGCAUGCACACCUACCUGUGGACCCCCUAAAGCUGGAAAGAUGGCAGAGAUUACCUUAUUGAAUUACUUAAAGUAGGUGUAGCUGUUGUGAUAGGUAAGACCCCAGAUUUCAGUGGCUUAAUUCCACAGAAGAUCCUUUCUUACUCUUGCAAGAUCCUGCACAGUAGCCAGCAGGCACCCUUCCAUACAGCGACUCAGGGACUUAGAGACCUCUGUCUUCAACUCACCAUCUGCUGGGACCUCAGGUGUUCCCUUCCACCUGGCAGAUGAGGAAGGAGAGAGCGUGGAAGACCACAAGGGAGAUUUAUCAAGAAUCCAGAGUGGAGGGAGACCACCUGAUUUGCCCAAGGUGACAUGGCUGCUCUGGGCCAAAUGAGAUUCGGGUCCAUAUCAGCCUUGUUCAGAUUUCAUGUUUUUAUAAAGGAAUGGAUUUCUGAACCAGAGUGGAGUAAUCCUGCUCUCCUUCAUG